AUACGUAGGGUGCGAGCGUUAAUCGGAAUUACUGGGCGUAAAGCGUGCGCAGGCGGUUUUGUAAGACAGUGGUGAAAUCCCCGGGCUCAACCUGGGAACUGCCAUUGUGACUGCAAGGCUGGAGUGCGGCAGAGGGGGAUGGAAUUCCGCGUGUAGCAGUGAAAUGCGUAGAUAUGCGGAGGAACACCGAUGGCGAAGGCAAUCCCCUGGGCCUGCACUGACGCUCAUGCACGAAAGCGUGGGGAGCAAACAGGAUUAGAUACCCUGGUAGUCCACGCCCUAAACGAUGUCAACUGGUUGUUGGGAAUUUAUUUUCUCAGUAACGAAGCUAACGCGUGAAGUUGACCGCCUGGGGAGUACGGCGGCAAGGUUAAAACUUAAAGGAAUUGACGGGG
rnacentral:rRNA from 1 species